rnacentral:rRNA from 1 species
UACAGAGGUCUCAAGCGUUGUUCGGAUUCAUUGGGCGUAAAGGGUGCGUAGGCGGCGCGGUAAGUCGGGUGUGAAAUCUCGGAGCUUAACUCCGAAACUGCAUUCGAUACUGCCGUGCUUGAGGACUGGAGAGGAGACUGGAAUUUACGGUGUAGCGGUGAAAUGCGUAGAUAUCAGGAGGAACACCGGUGGCGAAGGCGCCACUCUGGGCCGGUACUGACGCUGAGGAGCGAAAGCGUGGGUAGCAAACAGG